AUUGAACGCUGGCGGCAUGCCUAAUACAUGCAAGUCGAGCGAACAAACGGAGCUCUUUCUUCUCUGCCGUUACCGACGGGCGGGUGAUUCCCACGAGUCUACCUUACCUUUGGGGCUAACGUCCCUUCGCGAGCCCUAAUACCGUACCCGAUCAUAUGUUGAACCUCGUGGUUCUUUGGUCCUCACCCUUUUUGCUGUCCCUAAUUCGGAUUAGCUAGUUGGUUGGGUAAAGGCCUACCAAGGCGACGAUCCGUAACUGGUCUGAGAGGAUGACCAGUCACACUGGAACUGAGACACGGUCCAGACUCCUACGGGAGGCAGCAGUGGGGAAUAUUGGACAAUGGGCGAAAGCCUGAUCCAGCCAUGCCGCGUGUGUGAAGAAGGUCUUCGGAUUGUAAAGCACUUUAAGUUGGGAGGAAGGGCAGUAAGUUAAUACCUUGCUGUUUUGACGUUACCAACAGAAUAAGCACCGGCUAACUUCGUG
rnacentral:rRNA from 1 species